UACGUAGGGUGCGAGCGUUAAUCGGAGUUACUGGGCGUAAAGCGUGCGUAGGCGGUGUCUUAAGUUUGUUGUGAAAUCUCCCGGCUUAACCGGGAGGGUGCGGCGAAUACUGAGAUGCUGGAGUGCCGGAGAGGUAAGCGGAAUUCCUGGUGUAGCGGUGAAAUGCGUAGAUAUCAGGAGGAACACCUGCGGUGUAGACGGCUUACUGGACGGUAACUGACGCUGAGGCACGAAAGCGUGGGUAGCAAACAGG
rnacentral:rRNA from 1 species